GAUGAACGCUAGCGGAAGGCAUAAUACAUGCAAGUCGAACGGAUGUAGCAAUACAUUAGUGGCGCACGGGUGCGUAACGCGUAUGCAACCUACCUUCAUCAGGGGGAUAACUACCCGAAAGGGUGGCUAACACCGCAUAAUACUACUGAAUGGCAUCAUUUGGUAUUUAAAUCUGAGGAGGAUGAAGAUGGGCAUGCGUCUGAUUAGCUAGUUGGUGUGGUAACGGCGCACCAAGGCGACGAUCAGUAGGGGAACUGAGAGGUUGGUCCCCCACACUGGCACUGAGAUACGGGCCAGACUCCUACGGGAGGCAGCAGUAGGGAAUAUUGGUCAAUGGUGGGAACACUGAACCAGCCAUUCCGCGUGCAGGAAGAAGGGUCUCUGACUUGUAAACUGCUUUAGCAAGGGAAGAAAAAGCUCAUGCGUGAGAAAUUGACGGUACCUUGAGAAUAAGCACCGGCUAACUACGUGCCAGCAGCCGCUGUAAAAC
rnacentral:rRNA from 1 species